AUUGAACGCUGGCGGCAGGCCUAACACAUGCAAGUCGAGCGGUAGCACAGAGAGCUUGCUCUCGGGUGACGAGCGGCGGACGGGUGAGUAAUGUCUGGGAAACUGCCUGAUGGAGGGGGAUAACUACUGGAAACGGUAGCUAAUACCGCAUAACGUCGCAAGACCAAAGUGGGGGACCUUCGGGCCUCAUGCCAUCAGAUGUGCCCAGAUGGGAUUAGCUAGUAGGUGGGGUAACGGCUCACCUAGGCGACGAUCCCUAGCUGGUCUGAGAGGAUGACCAGCCACACUGGAACUGAGACACGGUCCAGACUCCUACGGGAGGCAGCAGUGGGGAAUAUUGCACAAUGGGCGCAAGCCUGAUGCAGCCAUGCCGCGUGUGUGAAGAAGGCCUUCGGGUUGUAAAGCACUUUCAGCGGGGAGGAAGGCGGUGAGGUUAAUAACCUCAUCGAUUGACGUUACCCGCAGAAGAAGCACCGGCUAACUCCGUGCCAGCAGCCGCGGUAAUACGGAGGGUGCAAGCGUUAAUCGGAAUUACUGGGCGUAAAGCGCACGCAGGCGGUCUGUCAAGUCGGAUGUGAAAUCCCCGGGCUCAACCUGGGAACUGCAUUCGAAACUGGCAGGCUAGAGUCUUGUAGAGGGGGGUAGAAUUCCAGGUGUAGCGGUGAAAUGCGUAGAGAUCUGGAGGAAUACCGGUGGCGAAGGCGGCCCCCUGGACAAAGACUGACGCUCAGGUGCGAAAGCGUGGGGAGCAAACAGGAUUAGAUACCCUGGUAGUCCACGCCGUAAACGAUGUCGAUUUGGAGGUUGUGCCCUUGAGGCGUGGCUUCCGGAGCUAACGCGUUAAAUCGACCGCCUGGGGAGUACGGCCGCAAGGUUAAAACUCAAAUGAAUUGACGGGGGCCCGCACAAGCGGUGGAGCAUGUGGUUUAAUUCGAUGCAACGCGAAGAACCUUACCUGGUCUUGACAUCCACAGAACUUUCCAGAGAUGGAUUGGUGCCUUCGGGAACUGUGAGACAGGUGCUGCAUGGCUGUCGUCAGCUCGUGUUGUGAAAUGUUGGGUUAAGUCCCGCAACGAGCGCAACCCUUAUCCUUUGUUGCCAGCGGUUCGGCCGGGAACUCAAAGGAGACUGCCAGUGAUAAACUGGAGGAAGGUGGGGAUGACGUCAAGUCAUCAUGGCCCUUACGACCAGGGCUACACACGUGCUACAAUGGCAUAUACAAAGAGAAGCGACCUCGCGAGAGCAAGCGGACCUCAUAAAGUAUGUCGUAGUCCGGAUUGGAGUCUGCAACUCGACUCCAUGAAGUCGGAAUCGCUAGUAAUCGUAGAUCAGAAUGCUACGGUGAAUACGUUCCCGGGCCUUGUACACACCGCCCGUCACACCAUGGGAGUGGGUUGCAAAAGAAGUAGGUAGCUUAACCUUCGGGAGGGCGCUUACCACUUUGUGAUUCAUGACUGGGGUGA
rnacentral:rRNA from 1 species